AUAGCGUAUAUUAAAGUUGUUGCAGUUAAAAAGCUCGUAGUUGAACCUUGGGCCUGGCUGGCCGGUCCGCCUCACCGCGUGUACUGGUCCGGCCGGGCCUUUCCUUCUGGGGAACCUCAUGCCCUUCACUGGGCGUGUUGGGGAACCAGGACUUUUACUUUGAAAAAAUUAGAGUGUUCAAAGCAGGCCUUUGCUCGAAUACAUUAGCAUGGAAUAAUAGAAUAGGACGUGUGGUUCUAUUUUGUUGGUUUCUAGAACCGCCGUAAUGAUUAAUAGGGAUAGUCGGGGGCAUCAGUAUUCAAUCGUCAGAGGUGAAAUUCUUGGAUUGAUUGAAGACUAACUACUG
rnacentral:rRNA from 1 species